rnacentral:rRNA from 1 species
GAUGAACGCUGGCGGCGUGCUUAACACAUGCAAGUCGAACGGAAACGCCCUAACUUGCUUGUGUUCUCGAGUGGCGAACGGGUGAGUAACACGUGGGCGAUCUGCCCUGCACUUCGGUGUAAGCCUGGGUAACUGGGUCUAAUACCGGAUAGGACCACAUCUUGGAUGGUGUGGUGGAAAGCUUUUCGGUUUGGGAUGAUCUCUCGGCCUAUCAGCUUUUUGGUGGGUUAAUGGCCUACCAAGGCGCCGACGGGUGGCCGGCCUGGGAGGGUGUACGGCCACCAUGGGCCUGAGAGACGGACCAGUCUGCUAUGGGGGGCAGCAGUGGGGAAUAUUGCACAAUGGGCGCAAGCCUGAUGCGGCGACGCCGGGUGUGGGAUGACGGCCUUUGGGUUGUGAAAACCUUUCGCUAGGGACGAAGCGCAAGUGACGGUACCUGGAGAAGAAGCACCGGCUAACUACGUG